rnacentral:rRNA from 1 species
AUUGAACGCUAGCGGGAUGCCUUACACAUGCAAGUCGAACGGCAGCGCGGACUUCGGUCUGGCGGCGAGUGGCGAACGGGUGAGUAAUGUAUCGGAACGUGCCCAGUAGCGGGGGAUAACUACUCGAAAGAGUAGCUAAUACCGCAUACGCCCUACGGGGGAAAGGGGGGGAUCGCAAGACCUCUCACUAUUGGAGCGGCCGAUAUCGGAUUAGCUAGUUGGUGAGGUAAAGGCUCACCAAGGCGACGAUCCGUAGCUGGUUUGAGAGGACGACCAGCCACACUGGGACUGGGACACGGCCCAGACUCCUACGGGAGGCAGCAGUGGGGAAUUUUGGACAAGGGGGGCAACCCUGAUCCAGCCAUUCCGCGUGUGCGAUGAAGGCCUUCGGGUUGUAGAGCACUUUUGGCAGGAAAGAAAUCGCACGGAUUAAUACUCUGUGUGGAUGACGGUACCUGCAGAAUAAGCACCGGCUAACUACGUGCCAGCAGCCGCCGUAA